rnacentral:rRNA from 1 species
ACGUAGGUGGCAAGCGUUAUCCGGAUUUACUGGGCGUAAAGGGUCCGUAGGUGGUUGGGAGGGUCUGGUGUGAAAGCGCUCGGCUUAACCUGGGAACUGCAUUCGAUACUGUCUGGCUAGAGUAUGGGAGAGGGAAGCGGAAUUUCCGGUGUAGCGGUGAAAUGCGUAGAUAUCGGAAGGAACAUCAAUGGCGAAGGCAGCUUCCUGGCCCAAUACUGACGCUCAGGUGCGAAAGCGUGGGGAUCAAACAG